GUUAGGAAUAUUGGACAAUGGGCGCAAGCCUGAUCCAGCCAUGCCGCGUGAACGAUGAAGGCCUUCGGGUUGUAAAGUUCUUUAGCCGAUGAUUAUAAUGACUGUAGUCGGAAAAUAAGCCCCGGCUAACUUCGUGCCAGCAGCCGCGGUAAUACGAAGGGGGCGAGCGUUAUUCGGAAUCACUGGGCGUAAAGCGUGCGUAGGCGGUCUCGUAAGUUAGGAGUGAAAGCCCAGGGCUCAACCUUGGAAUUGCUCUUAAAACUGCAAGGCUAGAAUCUCGGAGAGGAUAGCGGAAUUUCCAGUGUAGCAGUGAAAUGCGUAGAUAUUGGAAGGAACACCAGUGGCGUAAGCGGCUAUCUGGACGAGUAUUGACGCUGAGGCACGAAAGCGUGGGGAUCAAACAGGAUUAGAUACCCGUGUAGUCC
rnacentral:rRNA from 1 species